rnacentral:rRNA from 1 species
AGAACGAACGCUGGCGGCAUGCCUAAUACAUGCAAGUCGAACGAAGGCUUCGGCCUUAGUGGCGCACGGGUGCGCAACGCGUGGGAAUCUGCCCCUUGGUUCGAAUAACAGUUGGAAACGACUGCUAAUACCGGAUGAUGACGAAAGUCCAAAGAUUUAUCGCCAAGGGAUGAGCCCGCGUAGGAUUAGCUAGUUGGUGAGGUAAAGGCUCACCAAGGCGACGAUUCCUAGCUGGUCUGAGAGGAUGAUCAGCCACACGUGGGACU